rnacentral:rRNA from 1 species
CCUACGGGGGGCAGCAGUGAGGAAUAUUGGUCAAUGGGCGGAAGCCUGAACCAGCCAAGUCGCGUGAGGGAUUAAGGCCCUGCGGGUCGUAAACCUCUUUUGUCGGGGAGCAGAUUUCCGGACGUGUCCGGCCCGGGAGAGUACCCGCAGACAAAGCACCGGCUAACUCCGUGCCAGCAGCCGCGGUAAUACGGUGGAUGCGAGCGUUAUCCGGAUUUAUCGGGUUAAAAGGGUGCGUAGGCGGGCAUUUAAGCCGGCGGUAAAGGGGCGGGGCCAAACCCCGGCCUGCCGUCGGAACUGGGUGCCUUGAGUGAGCGAGAAGUAUGCGGAAUGCGUGGUGUAGCAGUGAAAUGCAUAGAUAUCACGCAGAACCCCGAUUGCGAAGGCAGCAUACCGGAGCCCUACUGACGCUGAGGCACGAAGGUGCGGGUAUCGAACGGGAUUAGAUACCCGAGUAGUC